UCCCUGGUAGCUCAGACAAUAAAGCGUCUGCCUGAAAUGUAGGAGACCUGGGUUCCAUUCCUGGGUUGGGAA
rfam:Ovis aries breed Texel chromosome 3, whole genome shotgun sequence.